UACAUACUCCCUCCGUCCGAUAAUACUUGUCACAAUAAAUGGAUGCAUCUAGAUGUAUUUUACUUCUAUAUACAUUCAUUUUUAUAAAUUUAUGCGAUAAGUAAUUUCGAAUGGAGAGAGUACGAA
rfam:Hordeum vulgare subsp. vulgare, WGS project CAJW01000000 data, contig: morex_contig_2554826